CCCGAAUACCUGGGACUACAGGCACCCACCACGCCCGGGUAAUUGUAUGACAAUGGAGAGGUGAUUACUGCGCUGAAAAUCAGUUUCCUGAAGUGAAAAAGGGAAUCAAGUUACGUCACAGAGCCUGGUGUGAGCGGCGCUCUGUCAACACCAGCUCUUCAUGGGUUGUGGUUUCCUCCAGUUCCUGGAUGUGUGGAGUUCAUCCUCCACUGACUGGCGCCCCGGUUGACAAUGAGGUCUGGAAAUUGGCAACUGAUGAAGGGAAGUGUAUCAGUCCGUUUUCAUGCUGCUGAUAAAGACACACCCGAGACUGGGAAGAAAAAGAGGUUUAAUGGACUUACACUUCGACAUGGCUGGGGAGGCCUCACAAUCGUGGUAGAAGGCAAGGAGGAGCAAGUCACAUCUUACGUGGAUGGUGGUGGGCAAAAGAGAGAGAGCUUGUGCAGGGGAACUCCUCUUUUUAAAAGUAUCAGAUCUCGUGAGAUUUAUUCACUAUUAUGACAACAGCAGAAGACAGACCUGCCCCCAUGAUUCAAUUACCUCCCACUGAGUGCCUCCCUCAACAUGUGGGAAUUACGAGUUAUACUUCAAGAUGAUUUGGGUGGGGACACACAGCCAAACCAUAUUAGGGAGCAGGAAAAAGAAACAAAAACAGCAACUAAUAACUCCCAAGACCACAGCUUCGCUCCUGUCUAGAGCUUUGCUACUUAGCCACAGGAACACGGGUGAUCAUACCUCAACAGAAGUCUGCCAGCAUUCAUUACGACCAGUGCUUAAUCUCAUCUGACAAUAUCAAUGUCAAAAUCAGAGCUUGGAGCUGGCGGUGUUUCAGCAGAGGAGUCUUUGGAGCUUCCACGAACUGGUUCAAUAAACAAUCUUGCUGUGAAACACAGAGCUUGGUAUUUAGAAGGGUUUUAGCUGGCAUAUCCACAAAGCUGCAGCAUCCUGUCCACUGCUAAUUCCACUGUGAAAUGUUGAAAUACAGCUCUUAGCUCCGAGAAAGCAUGUAGGCUUCUAUUUGCAUGCAAAUCAUUGCCAUUCAUGUGUGAACUACAGCAGGUAACAGCUCUGCCAGAUGGAAUAAUUUGGGGUAAGGCCAUCCUCUUUGUUAAAGGCCACAGGUAUCCAUGCAUGCUGCAGUGUAGCUCAUUCCUACUUUCCACGUCACCCCCUGGGGAAUAAUCAUUUUAAUGAUGGGCCUCAAGGAAAGGAAACGCCAUUCUACCCUGUCAUCAUUUAGUAAACAAAAUGGUGCCAAUUAGUGUAAUGCUGACCUAAUGUAAUAUUUGAUGCAAUUAGUAAAUUGAGAGGGAUAAAAAGGAACAUGGUAAAUUGAUAGAUCAAGAAAACUCCCUUGGAUUUUGAAAAAGUACAGAUUGCAUGCAUGUUUCAAGGAAAACCACUGUGGUCUCACCCCAGGUGGCAGUGCCUUGUAGUGGUUAGGAGUGUGUGUCUCUAGAAUCGGAAUGCUUGUGUCUCAAUCGCAGCUCUACCUCUUACUAACCAGAAGACUUUGAAUAAAACUCACACUUCCUAAGUGUCAACUUCAUCAUCUGUAAAGUGAAGAUAGUAGUAGACAAUUGAACUUAAUCCUCUCCUGGUCAUAUGAGGUAGGUCUGAUUUAAGUAGUUGAGCAGCCUGCCUGAUACAUGUAAAGCUUAACAAUAACUAUAAAUAAUCAUAAUUACAAUGAAUAAAAUAGCCAUAGAAGCUAGUUGCAUUAAAUUUAUUUGUAAUAAAUGUAGUAGCUAAUGCUGUACUUGAUCAAUUCACAGAGCUGAUUUCUCCAAUAAAUAGGAAGCUCCUAAGUAUAGAGACCAUGUCUUCUCUUCUUGUCAUCAGUGGUUUGCUCACCAUCUAACACUUAGGAUGUAUUCAACAAAUGGUUAUUAAAUGCACAGGUUUUAAAAUUAGUAGCAUUUUUUGUGUUAUUUAUUCCUUUACCUCCUCCUUCUUCAUAUCUCUUUCUCCUCUGUCAUCAUCAUCAUCAUCAUCAUUUUUUAUCCUCUCUAUUUCCAAAGACAUGGGGAUAAGAUUUGUCCCAGCAGGAUUCAUGCUGGUUACAUGGAAAGCAACACUGUUGAUAUUCAAAUGUCCCCUAAGGCUACCUACCUCCUUAUGAAUCUUUGGUAUCUUUCGUUUGAAUCUCCAGGCAUACUCUUUAUCUUUUCCCAAGCCUGCUCUAUGCAUUAAUUUUAUGGACUCCAUUAAUUAGUUUGCUUAUCUUUUAGUUUCCUGUUGGAUUAAGCCAGUGAGAACCCAGAAGGGUAAGGAGAGAGUUAGGGCAGGUUUCUGUCUUCUGGGUCUAACUGUUUGCCUUUGUUUUUCUCUCUGUGGCUACAGCUUCCACUAGGCAACUUUCUCUUAUAGCUUUAGUGUUCCUCUUUGGAUUCUGGUAUGUACUUCUUUUCCUUGCCAUUCCCUUAUUGGUUUUCCAUCACCCUGCCCACUCUUUAGUAAAUGUCCCUUUCAUUAGUUUCUCCCCUAGGUUGCUCACCUUGAGUAUGUCAUCUGUUACCCAUCAGGACCUUGACUGAUACAGGGUUCUAGAGCAUAUAAACUUCAAUGGUCUGCCACCAAGUCUGUGUGAUAUCUAGUUCCCACUUGCCACGUGGCAGGACCUUAGCAGCAGAAAGGGACAUUUUCUUGCCUUUACAGUGAUCACUAAGUGACGAGAAGAAGAGCAGGUGUCUCCUACAUAAUUGCUGCAGAACCGUUGUUUCUCAGGUCCAGCUGUUUUUGUCUCUUUUAUGCUAUCUGUCUCCAAAUCUCUGAUAUGUUGCUAAUAUACUGCUUAGGCCACCUAUGAGAUAUCCAUGAGGUCCAUUAUGGUGGAUAAUUAGAUUUUAGGGUCAGAAAUCCUGAAAUCAAAGCCUUUCCCAAAUUGCCUAUCAGUCAGAACUCAAAAGGAUUCUAGGACUCAUUUAAAAAUUCAACUUUUUUUUUUUUGCCAUAGAGACAGGGAGGAGUUGCUCAACUAACAUGUUGGCAACUACAGACAGCUCUUUUGUCAUCUGUUGGAUAAGGGAGACACUUAAUCAAACACCUAAAACAAAACAUGCUUGUUAUUUACAAAGAGAUAUGUAAAAGCAAAUAUCAAAUGUUUGCACAAACUUUUUAUAAAAGGACCACAACUUGAGAACCCCAGAAUAAUGUCCAGAGAUGCCUGUGACUUCCAUUUGAAACCAUACUCACUUGGCCGGGCGUGGUGGCUCACGCCUGUAAUCCCAGCACUUUGGGAGGCC
rnacentral:lncRNA from 1 species